CGUCAGCUCGUGUCGUGAGAUGUUGGGUUAAGUCCCGCAACGAGCGCAACCCUUAUCUUUAAUUGCCAUCAUUAAGUUGGGCACUUUAAAGAGACUGCCGGUGUUAAGCCGGAGGAAGGUGGGGAUGACGUCAAGUCCUCAUGGCCUUUAUGCUUAGGGCUACACACGUGCUACAAUGGGCGGUACAAAGAGAAGCUAACUCGCGAGAGCGCGCAAAUCUCAAAAAGCCGUCCUAAGUUCGGAUUGGAGUCUGCAACUCGACUCCAUGAAGCUGGAAUCGCUAGUAAUCGCGGAUCAGCAUGCCGCGGUGAAUACGUUCCCGGGCCUUGUACACACCGCCCGUCACACCCGGAAAAUUGAUUGCACCAGAAGUCGUUGAGCUAACUUCUAUUUAUAGAGGGGGCAGACGCCGACGGUGUG
rnacentral:rRNA from 1 species